UGCCCUUUGGAAACAGAGAACAAAUGGAAGAUGUUUUCAUUUCCUUUGAGUCAAACCGGAAUGGUGACAAAAUAAACACACCAGUAAACCCUGGUCUAUCAGGAAAAAAGGAUUUCAACCUUGAGCCUAUAUAGAGACACAGAAAAUGGUGUUGACCAAAGCUGAGUCACCGUAACAGCCUCUCACUAGAGAAAAAGUCUCCAAAUUCCUGUCACUGAGGUCUUCAGAGCACCCUCAUACCUGAUACAGUCUUGGUUAUGUGGUACAAUAAACAGAGUACUUCAAUUC